rnacentral:rRNA from 1 species
UACGGAGGGUGCAAGCGUUACUCGGAAUCACUGGGCGUAAAGGGCGCGUAGGCGGCCUAGCAAGUCUGGUGUGAAAGCCCAGGGCUCAACCCUGGAAGGGCACUGGAAACUGUUAGGCUUGAGUUCCGGAGAGGAGGGGGGAAUUCCCGGUGUAGCGGUGAAAUGCGUAGAUAUCGGGAGGAAUACCGGUGGCGAAGGCGCCCCUCAGGACUUAAACUGACGCUGAGGCGCGAAAGCUUGGGGAGCAAACAGG